UACGUAGGGGGCAAGCGUUGUCCGGAAUCAUUGGGCGUAAAGCGCGUGUAGGCGGCUCGAUAAGUCUGCUGUGAAAGUUCAGGGCUCAACCCUGAAAUGCCGGUGGAAACUGUCGAGCUAGAGUCCGGAAGAGGCGAGUGGAAUUCCUGGUGUAGCGGUGAAAUGCGCAGAUAUCAGGAGGAACACCAAUGGCGAAGGCAGCUCGCUGGGAUGGUACUGACGCUGAGACGCGAAAGCGUGGGGAGCAAACAGG
rnacentral:rRNA from 1 species